rnacentral:rRNA from 1 species
UAGGGAAGUCUUCCACAAUGGACGCAAGUCUGAUGGAGCAACGCCGCGUGAGUGAAGAAGGUCUUCGGAUCGUAAACUCUGUUGUUAGAGAAGAACACGAGUGAGAGUAGCUGUUCAUUCGAUGACGGUAUCUAACCAGCAAGUCACGGCUAACUACGAGCCAG